GAUGAACGCUGGCGGUAUGCCUAACACAUGCAAGUCGUACGAGAGUUUUUAACUCUAGUGGCGGACGGGUGAGUAACACGUGAGAAUUUGCCUUUAGGAGGGGGAUAACAAUUGGAAACGAAUGCUAAUACCCCAUAUGCUUUUGAGUGAAAUGGAUUUUAUCCGCCUAGAGAGAAGCUCGCGGCUGAUUAGCUUGUUGGUAAGGUAAGAGCUUACCAAGGCGACGAUCAGUAUCUGGUUUGAGAGGACGAUCAGACACACUGGAACUGAGACACGGUCCAGACUCCUACGGGAGGCAGCAGUGGGGAAUUUUCCGCAAUGGGCGAAAGCCUGACGGAGCAAUACCGCGUGAGGGAAGAAUGCCUAUGGGUUGUAAACCUCUUUUUUCCAGGGAGGAAUAAAAUGAACGCGUACCUGAAGAUAAGCAUCGGCUAACUCCGUG
rnacentral:rRNA from 1 species